rnacentral:rRNA from 1 species
UUAAGCGACUAAGCGUACACGGUGGAUGCCCUGGCAGUCAGAGGCGAUGAAGGACGUGCUAAUCUGCGAUAAGCGUCGGUAAGGUGAUAUGAACCGUUAUAACCGGCGAUUUCCGAAUGGGGAAACCCAGUGUGUUUCGACACACUAUCAUUAACUGAAUCCAUAGGUUAAUGAGGCGAACCGGGGGAACUGAAACAUCUAAGUACCCCGAGGAAAAGAAAUCAACCGAGAUUCCCCCAGUAGCGGCGAGCGAACGGGGAGCAGCCCAGAGCCUGAAUCAGUGUGUGUGUUAGUGGAAGCGUCUGGAAAGGCGCGCGAUACAGGGUGACAGCCCCGUACACAAAAAUGCACAUGCUGUGAGCUCGAUGAGUAGGGCGGGACACGUGGUAUCCUGUCUGAAUAUGGGGGGACCAUCCUCCAAGGCUAAAUACUCCUGACUGACCGAUAGUGAACCAGUACCGUGAGGGAAAGGCGAAAAGAACCCCGGCGAGGGGAGUGAAAAAGAACCUGAAACCGUGUACGUACAAGCAGUGGGAGCACGCUUAGGCGUGUGACUGCGUACCUUUUGUAUAAUGGGUCAGCGACUUAUAUUCUGUAGCAAGGUUAACCGAAUAGGGGAGCCGAAGGGAAACCGAGUCUUAACUGGGCGUUAAGUUGCAGGGUAUAGACCCGAAACCCGGUGAUCUAGCCAUGGGCAGGUUGAAGGUUGGGUAACACUAACUGGAGGACCGAACCGACUAAUGUUGAAAAAUUAGCGGAUGACUUGUGGCUGGGGGUGAAAGGCCAAUCAAACCGGGAGAUAGCUGGUUCUCCCCGAAAGCUAUUUAGGUAGCGCCUCGUGAAUUCAUCUCCGGGGGUAGAGCACUGUUUCGGCAAGGGGGUCAUCCCGACUUACCAACCCGAUGCAAACUGCGAAUACCGGAGAAUGUUAUCACGGGAGACACACGGCGGGUGCUAACGUCCGUCGUGAAGAGGGAAACAACCCAGACCGCCAGCUAAGGUCCCAAAGUCAUGGUUAAGUGGGAAACGAUGUGGGAAGGCCCAGACAGCCAGGAUGUUGGCUUAGAAGCAGCCAUCAUUUAAAGAAAGCGUAAUAGCUCACUGGUCGAGUCGGCCUGCGCGGAAGAUGUAACGGGGCUAAACCAUGCACCGAAGCUGCGGCAGCGACGCUGAUGCGUUGUUGGGUAGGGGAGCGUUCUGUAAGCCUGCGAAGGUGUGCUGUGAGGCAUGCUGGAGGUAUCAGAAGUGCGAAUGCUGACAUAAGUAACGAUAAAGCGGGUGAAAAGCCCGCUCGCCGGAAGACCAAGGGUUCCUGUCCAACGUUAAUCGGGGCAGGGUGAGUCGACCCCUAAGGCGAGGCCGAAAGGCGUAGUCGAUGGGAAACAGGUUAAUAUUCCUGUACUUGGUGUUACUGCGAAGGGGGGACGGAGAAGGCUAUGUUGGCCGGGCGACGGUUGUCCCGGUUUAAGCGUGUAGGCUGGUUUUCCAGGCAAAUCCGGAAAAUCAAGGCUGAGGCGUGAUGACGAGGCACUACGGUGCUGAAGCAACAAAUGCCCUGCUUCCAGGAAAAGCCUCUAAGCAUCAGGUAACAUCAAAUCGUACCCCAAACCGACACAGGUGGUCAGGUAGAGAAUACCAAGGCGCUUGAGAGAACUCGGGUGAAGGAACUAGGCAAAAUGGUGCCGUAACUUCGGGAGAAGGCACGCUGAUAUGUAGGUGAGGUCCCUCGCGGAUGGAGCUGAAAUCAGUCGAAGAUACCAGCUGGCUGCAACUGUUUAUUAAAAACACAGCACUGUGCAAACACGAAAGUGGACGUAUACGGUGUGACGCCUGCCCGGUGCCGGAAGGUUAAUUGAUGGGGUUAGCGCAAGCGAAGCUCUUGAUCGAAGCCCCGGUAAACGGCGGCCGUAACUAUAACGGUCCUAAGGUAGCGAAAUUCCUUGUCGGGUAAGUUCCGACCUGCACGAAUGGCGUAAUGAUGGCCAGGCUGUCUCCACCCGAGACUCAGUGAAAUUGAACUCGCUGUGAAGAUGCAGUGUACCCGCGGCAAGACGGAAAGACCCCGUGAACCUUUACUAUAGCUUGACACUGAACAUUGAGCCUUGAUGUGUAGGAUAGGUGGGAGGCUUAGAAGUGUGGACGCCAGUCUGCAUGGAGCCGACCUUGAAAUACCACCCUUUAAUGUUUGAUGUUCUAACGUUGACCCGUAAUCCGGGUUGCGGACAGUGUCUGGUGGGUAGUUUGACUGGGGCGGUCUCCUCCUAAAGAGUAACGGAGGAGCACGAAGGUUGGCUAAUCCUGGUCGGACAUCAGGAGGUUAGUGCAAUGGCAUAAGCCAGCUUGACUGCGAGCGUGACGGCGCGAGCAGGUGCGAAAGCAGGUCAUAGUGAUCCGGUGGUUCUGAAUGGAAGGGCCAUCGCUCAACGGAUAAAAGGUACUCCGGGGAUAACAGGCUGAUACCGCCCAAGAGUUCAUAUCGACGGCGGUGUUUGGCACCUCGAUGUCGGCUCAUCACAUCCUGGGGCUGAAGUAGGUCCCAAGGGUAUGGCUGUUCGCCAUUUAAAGUGGUACGCGAGCUGGGUUUAGAACGUCGUGAGACAGUUCGGUCCCUAUCUGCCGUGGGCGCUGGAGAACUGAGGGGGGCUGCUCCUAGUACGAGAGGACCGGAGUGGACGCAUCACUGGUGUUCGGGUUGUCAUGCCAAUGGCACUGCCCGGUAGCUAAAUGCGGAAGAGAUAAGUGCUGAAAGCAUCUAAGCACGAAACUUGCCCCGAGAUGAGUUCUCCCUGACUCCUUGAGAGUCCUGAAGGAACGUUGAAGACGACGACGUUGAUAGGCCGGGUGUGUAAGCGCAGCGAUGCGUUGAGCU